UUAAGAUUCGGAGGCCUCUGAGGGUCUCAGUGAUGAGAUUCAAUUCGGAGGAUUCUAAGGGUCUUAGUUGCUGCAGCCCAGCUGGCUGGGCAAAAUAACCGGGGGGUGACGAGCAACUUGUGUACAUUGAUACAGCAGGAGUGGGAGCGGUUUAUUGUAGGACAGGAGGGGUAUAUAUAUAUUCCACACAGCUUAUCUUAAUUAACAUAAACUAGAUACAGCAGUCAACCAAUAAGGAAUCUCCACACUUAAUGGCUCGCUGGCAUUACUUCCCAAACCACUCCCUCUGCAAAAUGCCAGGCGCCAUCCUGACUUGUUUACAGACCCUAACACUCAGUGAGCGGCUUUCUGGGAAUGAUUGGCAUGUGGACAGCGAAGGGAAGCAGAGACCCACCCUGAGUGGGGCACACAGUCCCAUAGGUCGGAGGCCUGGACAGGAACAAAGAGUUGGAAGAACAAGGAAGAGCGGCCAAUGCCGGCUCCUUCUCCCCGAGUGGGUUCUUGGUGGCUGCUGCCAUGGCCUGAGGACGUCAGACCACAGCUCCUUUCUCUUCCAAAGGGGGCUCUGCCUGGUGGUCUCCAGGCAGUUCGCAGCCCCCAGUCCUGGAUUGGGCCUGCAGCAUGGCUUCUUCCCAUCCUGAGGCUCCAGUUGCUUGGACGGUGCAGCUACUGGCUCUCCCAGCUCUCCGGCCUGCAGACGGCCAUGGGGACUGUCCAGCUUCCGGUCUUGUGAGCCAACCUAAUAAGUCCCCCUUUUAUGAUCAUCAAAAGAGCAGUACUGCCCCCCUCUUGAUCCCUCUUCCUUCCUGUCUUACCAGGUGACCUCUGCCUUUCCCAUGUGCUCCUGUUAGGGUAGCAUUUAUCAUGACGUGAAGCAGCUGGGGUCCCUUGUCAUAGCUGACACCAUACCAUCUAGACUUUCAGUCCCUAAAACUGUGACAAAAUAAACCUUUGUCCUUGGUAAAGUGUCCAGACGGAGGUACCUUGUUAGAACAGUGGAGAACAAUCAAGUACAACAUCCAGUGUGAUUCCUUCUAACGGGAGCUGUGGGGAGAUCUGAUGUCCAGCAGACGGCUGGUGAUGGCCCUUACCUCACACCAUGCAUGAAAGUGAAUUCAAGCUGGAAGAAAGACUAAAACAUGGGAGGGCAAACUCUAAAAGCUUCAGGAGAAAACACGGACAAAGAAUCGACGGUCACAGAGAUGAGUGGAAAAGGUCAUUUCAGGUCCCCAAGAGUGACCAAGAUCAAUUAGAGACCUGCGCAGAGCCGGAGGGGCUGCUCAGCGCUGGAGUCAGGAGGGUGUCUCAGAGGAAGUCUGAAAGAUGGACACGAGCCAGCCCUGGACGUGAGCCAGCUGCACAGUGCUCCAGGCCAGGGACGGACUGACUGCCAAGGCUCUAGGAAAGGCAAGGGCCGGGCAUUGGGAGGAGCAGAUGUGUGCCCAGCUGUGGGUGAUGAGGGAGGCCAGCUGGGGGACAGAGAAGGACCAGAUGACAGGAGGCCGUGGUGGCGUUUGCCUUGUGCUCUCAGUGGAAGCCCACGGGAGGGCCUGACCAUUCUCCUGCACAGGGAGUGUGGACCAGAAGAGAACGAGGCAGCCUCCAGCCUGUCACAGAUGGCCCAGGUAAUUUCAGGCCAGCCAACGCCCCAUCAGGGGUUGCUAGAGAGGCUGACAGGUUGAUGACAACCCACUCCAACUGGAAGGGAAAGGAAGCAAGUCUGCAGGGGACCCUGCCUCCUGACUUCUGCUUGGAAAAAGUGCGCAGCCUGGGCUGCUGUCCUGAGCCGCGGUCUCCAUCCUGCCUGCCCUGAUCCCUGCGUGCAUGUUCCUGGACUCUGUGCUGGUCAACAGGUGCACACAGGUGUUCUGAGGUACCUUGACCUUGACCAAAGGACACAGUGACCACACUCAGGCACAAGCGGUCCUCCUGGCCACUGUGUAAUUCUUAUAGAUGAGGAUAUGUUGCUCCUGUAUUUGCUAGUUUUACGCUGCCACUUGCCAGUUCUAUAAGAGCUUUUCCUAGAAGGAAAAGAAGAAAAAAUCCAUCUGUUUAGAAAAGAAGUGAGUGGGAUCUCCUACCCAGGGAGGAACCCUGGUGCCGAGGGGACUGGGUCUGAGAUGGCGCCUCCACUGUGUGGUUGGCACUACAGGAUCUUCACCAGCACCUGCCCUCUCUGUCUCUGGUUUCUUCUUCUGGCCCCUGCCCUUUCCAUCUCCUGAGCGUGUGAGAAAGUCCCGGGAGAGGACGAGUAUAGCAGGGCUCUGAGACACACAGUGUGCUGUCUGCAGCUGGCCUCCGGGUCACCCUGUGAUGUGGCCCCACGCGAGGAUGCUGGCCGGCCGUGUGAGAUAGCAGAUGUGGGAGCCCCUGUGUGUGAUACCGCCUGAGCUAGACGGAGCCUGAUUAGUGCGAGGAGUGAUUAUCGGUGAUAACAAUGCCGUUUUGCCACCUGCCAUCGAGACAUUUCUGUAGCUGUGUGACUUCACAAGGACGUGAACUUUGCAUGCUGGGUUUGCCCAGCUGUAAAAUGAGCUAUCUCCGGGGACAGCAGGCACAGCCAGCUCCCGGGGCCCGUGGGGAUGUUUAUCCUUGAGACGAGAUGUGGGGGAAGGAUCGCGGGCUGUGGAGAGGGCUGGGAAUCUGCCAGAUGGAGCACAGGGGGACUCUGAGGGCAGACGCAGCAGCCGGACUCAGCGGACCUUCUGUGGGCACAGAGUUGUUGGCUGGGGCAACUCUUAAUCACCUCCCCCAGUUACUGCCUGAAGCCCCUUCUGCCUUCAAUAUGCGCCUCCUCCUUUACCCCUCACAGCCGCCCCGAGGUCAGUUUCCUUAUGAUUCCCGUUUUAGAGAUAAAGAAACUGAGGCUAGAGGGGUCAUGUCCAAGGUCGUACAGCCCUGAACAUGAAGCAGGCAGGAAUUAUUGGCACAUCAUGGUGACGGCGAGGCCCGCGCUGUUACAAGAAUGUCUGACGGGUUUAUAACACGCUUUUAUCACAAGCCACAGCUGUUGAACUGAUUUCUGAUGAGGUUUCGUGACUUCCCAUCAUGUGUAACGCUGCACAGGACCCCUCCGUUGGGGGCAUACCACAGAAGCAGGAAGCCAAGCCAGACCCUCCUGCGGGAGCCUUGGGAUGCAGAUCCCCAGGCCUCUGCUGUGCGCAGGGUGCGAAAGAUCCUAAGAGGAGCCCGGCAGUGAGCGCUCUCAACCUCCCCAGGAGCAUCGAUGGGCACCCCAACUUUGUGCCUAGAGCCUGUUUGAAGUUGAUUAUGCAAUUCUGGGGGUCACCUCAAUUCUAGGAACAGGUGGGGCAUGAUUGGAUCAUGAGUGUCCCCUGCCCUUUAAAGAGGGCCAUGGCAUGGCCAGGCUCAUUGCCCCAGCUUGACAAAGCUUUUUUUUUCCUUUUUUGGUACCCGGGAUUGAACCCAGGGGUGCUUAAACCAUGCAGCCACAUCCCCAGCCCCCCCUUUUUUUUUCGAGACAGAGUCUCACUAGGUUCCUUUCAGCUUUGCUAAAUCCCUGAGGCUGGCCUCCAACCUGCAAUCCUCCUGUCUCAGCCUCCUGAGUCACUGGGAUUCCAGGAUGCACUACAGCACCUGGGUAGGAAUCUACUUUUUAAAAGUUCCCCCAGAUUCUGGUCCUGAGCAGUCAUCACAGGGAACAGCUGCCCUCCAGCAUCUAUUUAGCACAGCUUGGAACACCUGCACCGUUCUUAGACUAUUUGUUCUUUAAUGAUUGAUGACUCAAUCUAGCGGCUGUGCACAUUUCCCCGGGCCAGUCACACCUGCUUGGAAGCUGGAACUGCAGCCACACGGGCUCAGGCUGUAGGAAGGGGAGAACCCUCCCUUUCCAUGACCUCCCUGAGCAGGGUGCCUAGGGCACAGGGGGCCGCCUGGUGGGAGACCCUGGUGGGCCCUCCUCUUGGUGGCCUCGGGGGUCCUCCCCAUUCUGUUCUCAGCAGUGGCUGGGUAGCAGCCUGCUCACCACGGGGCUCCAGCUGCCUCUCCAGGAUCAGCAGUGACUCAGCACCAGGGGUUGCCACUCACUCUAGGAAGCCACUCGGGCAGGGUCUGCGCCAGCCUUCCUGUCUUGCAUGCUAAGUCAAGGGUGUCUGCUCCAUAUGGUGACGCAUAAUUUACAGUGCCAUUGACUUCCUGCUUAGGUAGCCUAUUCUGUACAAAGCUUCCAUUUGCAUAUUUAUUAAUUUACAAAAUUAAUGCCAUUUUCUUAGUCCCUUACAGGAUGUGAUGCCGGUCCCUGUCUUUGAAUUAAUUUUAAUCUAAGGUGGAAACAUUUGUUGAGGGAGUUGGCUCAGGCCAAAGUAAUCAAAUGCGGGUAAUCAAAUGCUGAUGGGCGGGGGGGGGAAGAGAGGGCUCACAUUUAUUGAGGGCCUAACUCUGCCAGGCUCCGAGGAAAUUAAUAGCGCAGAAUGGAAUUCUCCAAAUACAUCCUCAUAAUGUGAUUGUUGUUGCCGUUUUAUAAAUUAAGUGGGACUCAGGGUAAGUAGCUCUCUCAUUGUCCCUCAACCAGUAAGUGGCACAAAAGUCAUGGAGCAGAGUUUCCAUCUGCCCCAGGUCUCCAUUAGUGAACAAAGGCCAUCCCCGGGCACAAUUUAUUAGUCUUUCAAAGGUCACUCUACACUCUGAGUAUUUGCACGUCUGCAGAUAUUCGUGUGGCCUACAUGUUAGCAGAUGAGAGAUGCCCAUCGAGAACCUUACACCACUUCUUGCCAGUAUUUGAGCAGAUGUACCCAAGAAAACAACUGUUUUGGUCCAAAUUCCUACUUAGAGGUACUGGAAAUGUUUUAACAGUAGCAACUCACUUUUCAUUAAAAACACACAUUUCCUAUUCAUGACCAUCUGAUCCUUCAAGAAACCAGCCUAAACCUCUUCCCCACCAUCAACGUUUUUAUAUGGUUCUCCUAAGUUCCUGUUUUCCACACCUUCCUCUUUGUCCCUCAAUGGGUGGCCAUAUGGUAUCCACCUCAUCAAUGACAAUGGCAGCUUGCCUCAGCCACCAAUGUCCUUUCUGGUUGGGGAUCAGAUCUCUCCAUGGAAUUGAUGCCUUCAACCACCCCGAGUGAGUCAGCUUUUCCUCACUGUGACAAAACGCCUGAGACAAUCAACUUAAAGAAGGAAAGGUUUGUUUGGGUUCACAGUCUUAGAAGUUCCAUUCCAGGGGCCGUUGACUCCAUUGCUUUGGGUCUGAGGUGAGGCAGAACGUAUUGGUGGGGAGCAUGUGGUGGGGCAAAGCUGCUCACCUGGUGGCAUUCAGGAAACAAAGAGAGAGAGACAGGAAGGGGCUGGGGUCCCAAUGUCCCCUUUAAGGGCACAGACCCAAUGACCUACCUUCCUUCCACCACCUCCCAACAGCACCAUGGGCUGGGGACCAAGCUGUUGACACAUGGGUCUUUGGAACAUUCCAGAUCCAAACCACAGCAUGUUCCUUCCUUCAAGUUUCUCUACUUCCAUUUCCCCUGACUGCACACUCUCAGACACACCCCUCCCUUUCUGAGUGACAUUUCCUGUUGCCUUUUCUAACCCUUCUUCCUUACCCUGCUUGGAGAAAAUUCCCUCUGACUUACAAAUGUGUAUCUCUCACCCCUGCACGUGAGCAUCUUGGGCCUCAGACAACGUCCAGCUGUUUUGCAGACAGAUUUCUGUAGGUGCAUCGGCAUGGCCAGAUCAACGUGGCCUAGUCCUCCCCCUCCCUCCCACUGAAAGUCCAAUCCACUUUCUAUGUUGCCUGUCUUGGUGCACCUUGCCAUGUGCCCAGUUCUUAAAACUCGACCCCUUUGUCUCUUUGACCAGUUCUUCAUCCCUAACCUCUGCAUUCAACUGGCUACAAAACAUUACCCACCUCUUUCAGAUAUACUUCUGAAAUCUACAUCUGCGUGUUACUCAGCUUCUCAUCACGGGGACCAAAAUACCUGACAAGAGCCACUUAGAGCAGAAUACAUUUAUUUUGUCUCCCGUUUUCAGAGGCUCAGUCUCUGGUUAGCCAACACCAUUGCCCUGAGGUGAGGCCGAGCACCAUGGCAGAGGCCAGCUGCUCAGGACGCAGAGGGCAAGGAGCAUGGGGAAGGGCCUGGAGCAAGUGGCCUGGACACUGCGCCAGGUGUGGACCGAGGGUGAAGCUCAGGCUCUAUUUGUCCCCAACCAUGCAAGGGGACAUUGUGUCCCCAGAACCAAACAGGAAGCAAUGGAGAGAGAAUCCACAGCCCAGGCCUGCAGGAUGGUGAGGUCUUGAGCUCCCCCUAGAGGACACUAGGAAAUCUGAAGACAGGACUCCUGCAUCCCAGCCCAGAGUGUCAAAGGCAAGUACAAGGACCCUGAGAAAGGAGAGGUGCCCUCCUGAGAGCCUCGGCCCAGGAGGACCUUUCACCCUCAGCAGACACACCCAGGGGAGGGAGAGAGGAAGUGCCCUGUGCGGAGGGUCUACUUUCUGCUGGGGCAGGCAGGAUGUCUUUAACCCAUAAAUCAUACCACAGUGUCCACUGCUUUUAAUCCCACAAUAAACCCAAGGUUGGCCAUUAUUUCCCUCAUUCUGCUCAUGGAAAAAUCAAGGUUCCAAUUUCAUGUUAAAAAUAGGUGUGAUCUGGAAUUUGACGACCCCCCCCCCAAAUUUUGAACUGUACAUCCCACACCGGGAAAAGUUGGAGCCAUAGGAUUGCACUGGGUCUGCUUGACAAUCCAACCUGGACACUCUUGUGGCCUUUGUGACCCUCCUGCCAUCUAAGGACUGCUGGUAUCUUACCUCAUUCUUUGUCACAAGCCUGUGUUGGGCUGUUACCAUUCUCCCCCUGUUGAGUGACUUCCAGGAAUGCUGGGUUCCCUACCCAAGGUCACCACUAGGGAGUAGCAGAGUUGAACUUGAACACAAGAGAUGGCCUAGAGCAGGGGUCAGUACACAUUUUCUUUAAAGAGCUUUAAGCUGUAAUGCAACAGCGGCCACAGGCAAUAUAGGAAUACAGAACAGGCGUUGCCGUGUUCCAAUAAAACUUUAUUUAUCCAACCAGUGAGCUGGACUCUCCUUUACUUGGUUAAGAGGUGGCCUAGGGGACGGUGGAUCCAGAAAGGCUUCUCACAGAGUGGACUCAGACAAUUCAGGCCCAGAAGCCCGGUGUGCCAAGGUGCAAGUGACUUUGGAAGUGCUGAGCCCUAAGUAGAUGGGUCUGAGCAGCGGGCAGAUGGACCCCCAGGCUGAAGGACAGAAAUGCCCGGCAUAGGAACCAGAUCUUGAGAGUGAUAUCAGCCAAAGAGUGACAAAAGGCUGAAGAUGGACAGAUUUUAAACAGGGAAGGGUCACAUGAUUGUGGAAAGACCUCCUCCUGCAGGCUGUCUGGGGGUGCCUUAGAGUCCUGAGCCCCAGCCAGGGAGAGCAGGUGGGAGGAGCCCAGGGGCUGUCAAGUGUCCCCAGGGAAUGAGUGGAAAAGAACAAGGAGGCGCACACUGGUGCGUGGACACUGGUCAGCCUUUGAGGGAAGGGGACGCCGUCACCUGCGACAGGAGGGAUGAACCCGGAGGAUAUUACGCCAAGUGGAAGACCCACUGCCCAGUCCUGUGCAAUUACUUAACACCACUGAGUGCAUAGUAAAAAUAGUUGAGAUGGUACAUUUUAUGCUGUUGGGUUGUUUUUUAGCACAAUUAAAAAUAAGAUGAAAAAAUCAGUGGGGCUACUAACUAAGGCAGCAGCCAUGAGAAGGUGAGGGUCAUGUACAAAGGCCUGCAGGGACAGAAGGAGGCCCUGCAGCCGCCCGCAGGCUCGCACAUGCCUGCCCAUACAGCGAUCACCUCUUGCUGGCCUGGCUUGCUCUCUCUGGGUCCCCUGGCUCCUGCCAUGCAGUGUCAUUAGGCUCCGAUCACCGUGAACAGUGUCUUGAAGCUCUGGCCUGAGCUGUCAGCUGUGGGCCGGGUUCCUCUCACCCAAGUCCACUCGGUGUGGUGCCUCCUACCAUAUGUCGGCCACCCUGUUCAUUAAUCACGCCUCCUGAAAAGUCUCUUAAUUACAUUAUGUUCACAAUCCAUAAAACAUAAUUAAAAUAUGUAAAUCCAUUAUAUUCUUUAAUGAGCACAUUGAGACCUCAAAAUUUUAAAUUAGAUAUAAAAUUGAUGUGGACCUACGACUAUCGAUUACUCAUGGUAAUAAAUCACCCUCCAUUUGGAUGGAGACAGCCUCCCUCCUCCCGCGGAUAAGCUUUUUUAUUUAUUUUUUUAAGGCAUUUCCUACAGCUGUUGGAAACCACGUGCCAUCUUUAAGGUCGGCCCCUGGAUUGCCGAGACUUGACAGCGCCGGUGGCCGCAGCCAUGAGUUACGUCUGGACAGUGCUCUGCAGCUGGCCCAGGGCGACCACAGAAACAUGUCCCCAUUUCUGCCUUGGCCAUGUUUCUGUUUUCACUUCAGUAGAAGUAUGACAACUCGAGUCACUGUCAUGGAAAAUACCAGAAGCAUCCUCGAUCUCCUCUCUUCCCUGCACCUGUUUCUCAUCCACUGGCCACAUCUCACCCUCCAUGUGGACAAGCCAGUCACUGCUGGGGACACUCUACUCCAGGCCUCCUGCCCUGCACGGGCUGGUCCCCCACUCGGCAGGGGGUAUCCCCUCUCACCUGUCUGCAGAACUGGUGGGAUUUCCCAGUCUGGCUGGAGGGUCUCCUUGGGGUCCAUCCCUGGCCAGCUUCCUGGCUUGUCUGGCCGGCAGCACCAGCCCACUUCCUGGGAACAGCUCCUGCAGGUACCGUUUUUACUUGUGCUAUGACUGUUUCCACUGGACCCUCCUGAUGGCCAUGUAAGGUGGUCAUUAAAGGUAUGACCCUCAUUUCACGGGCCAAAUGUUCCUAAAGCUCAUAAAGGUUAAUUGGCUUGUCCAGGGCCUCUGGCCUGUACAUGGGAUGUCUGCUAGGGCCCGACACAUGAAGGCACAUGGAGUCCACCUGCUCAGGACGCUCCCUCCCUGUAGAGCAUCUGUCCUGAAAGGCCACUCCCUCACCUGCAAUCUGUUAUCGAUAAGCCACAGAAGCCUCAGGGGGCUGUCUUCCCCUUCUGGUCACUACAGAGCAUAAGUUUCCUUCUGCUUUUAUCUGCUUGACAUUGGUUUCAAGUUAAAGCUGAAGUGAAAACAUACGUGGCCUUAGAGUCACCCCCCGUGUGAAUCCCAGUUUGCCUGUUUACCACGUGUGUGGACUCAGCCGAUUCGAUGGCUCUCUGGCCUGGUGCCUUCAGCCCUGGUAGAGAAAUCACAGAGACGCCCUCCAAGGUCGGGAGGGUCCUACACAAGAGCCUGUGUAGAGUGCCCAGCUCCACCUGCCCACAGUGCUCACUGUGACUGUGACUGUUAUGGUCCCUGGUGACCUCAUCACUACACCAAUCAGGGGAACCCCCCCUUUUUUUUCAUGGAUGGAGCUGUGCCCCAGAAUUCUCUGCAUAUUUGUGACCACAGGCAGCAGACGGAGACGCGCGUGUCUUCUUGGCUACCCCACCUGCAGGGUUUUUCUCUCAUAUCAGAGCCGGCUUGCUGGGAUAACCCAGAGGGGGCCCAGGGGAUGAAUUUUCAAGUCCAGUUCCUUCUUUCUCACAGUUUGAAAUCUGAAUCUCAGGGAGAAAAAGAAAAGAUGCAGCCGUCACUCAUUUUCUUGUUAAUAAACACCUGUGAAUUGCC